AUUGAACGCUGGCGGCAUGCCUUACACAUGCAAGUCGAACGGCAGCACGGGAGCUUGCUCCUGGUGGCGAGUGGCGAACGGGUGAGUAAAGCAUCGGAACGUGCCCUGAAGUGGGGGAUAACGUAGCGAAAGUUACGCUAAUACCGCAUAUUCUGUGAGCAGGAAAGCAGGGGAUCUUCGGACCUUGUGCUUUAGGAGCGGCCGAUGUCGGAUUAGCUAGUUGGUGAGGUAAAGGCUCACCAAGGCGACGAUCCGUAGCGGGUCUGAGAGGAUGAUCCGCCACACUGGGACUGAGACACGGCCCAGACUCCUACGGGAGGCAGCAGUGGGGAAUAUUGGACAAUGGGCGCAAGCCUGAUCCAGCCAUGCCGCGUGUGUGAUGAAGGCCUUAGGGUUGUAAAGCACUUUCACCGAUGAAGAUAAUGACGGUAGUCGGAGAAGAAGCCCCGCUAACUCGUGCCAGCAGCCGGU
rnacentral:rRNA from 1 species